CAGCCGCCGCGGGAAUACAGAGGGUGCAAGCGUUAAUCGGAAUUACUGGGCGUAAAGCGCGCGUAGGUGGUUUGUUAAGUUGGAUGUGAAAGCCCCGGGCUCAACCUGGGAACUGCAUCCAAAACUGGCAAGCUAGAGUACGGUAGAGGGUGGUGGAAUUUCCUGUGUAGCGGUGAAAUGCGUAGAUAUAGGAAGGAACACCAGUGGCGAAGGCGACUACCUGGACUGAUACUGACACUGAGGUGCGAAAGCGUGGGGAGCAAACAGGAUUAGAUACCCCAGUAGUCCCUGUCUCUUAUAC
rnacentral:rRNA from 1 species